CCUACGGGUGACAGCAGUGGGGAAUAUUGGGCAAUGGGCGAAAGCCUGACCCAGCAACGCCGCGUGAAGGAAGAAGGCUUUCGGGUUGUAAACUUCUUUUGACAGGGAAGAGCAGAAUACGGUACCUGUCCAAUCAGCCACGGCUAACUACGUGCCAGCAGCCGCGGGAAUACGUAGGUGGCAAGCGUUGUCCGGAUUUACUGGGUGUAACGGGCGUGUAGCCGGGCUGACAAGUCAGAUGUGAAAUCCGGGGGCUCAACCCCCGAACUGCAUUUGAAACUGUUGGUCUUGAGUAUCGGAGAGGCAGGCGGAAUUCCCAGUGUAGCGGUGAAAUGCGUAGAUAUUAGGAGGAACACCAGUGGCGAAGGCGGCCUGCUGGACGACAACUGACGGUGAGGCGCGAAAGCGUGGGGAGCAAACAGGAUUAGAUACCCGGGUAGUC
rnacentral:rRNA from 1 species